CCUGAAUUCCAAUGUUUAUUUCUAUAGUAUAAGAAAAACUAAUUGAAUCAAAUUCAUGGAUUUACCACGACCUCGGCUGUGACCCCAUAGAUAAAAAUGCAAAAUUUCUAUCUUCGAGACCAUUGAAAAAAGGCAUUGAACGAGAAAAAAUCGUCCACAGAUAAUCUAUCGUAUGCCUUGGAAGUGAUAUAAGGUGCUCGGAAAUGGUUGAAGUAAUUGAAUAGGAGGAUCACUAUGACUAUAGCCCUUGGUAGAGUUACUAAAGAAGAAAAUGAUUUAUUUGAUAUUAUGGACGACUGGUUACGAAGGGACCGUUUUGUUUUUGUAGGAUGGUCUGGCCUAUUGCUUUUUCCUUGUGCUUAUUUCGCUUUAGGAGGUUGGUUUACAGGGACAACUUUUGUAACUUCUUGGUAUACCCAUGGAUUGGCGAGUUCCUAUUUGGAAGGUUGCAAUUUCUUAACCGCAGCAGUUUCCACCCCUGCCAAUAGUUUAGCACACUCUUUGUUGCUACUAUGGGGCCCGGAAGCACAAGGGGAUUUUACUCGUUGGUGUCAAUUAGGUGGUCUGUGGACUUUUGUUGCUCUCCAUGGGGCUUUUGCACUAAUAGGUUUCAUGUUACGUCAAUUUGAACUUGCUCGGUCUGUUCAAUUGCGGCCUUAUAAUGCAAUUUCAUUCUCUGGCCCAAUCGCUGUUUUUGUUUCCGUAUUCCUGAUUUAUCCACUGGGGCAAUCCGGUUGGUUCUUUGCGCCGAGUUUUGGCGUAGCAGCGAUAUUUCGAUUCAUCCUCUUCUUCCAAGGAUUUCAUAAUUGGACGUUGAACCCAUUUCAUAUGAUGGGAGUUGCCGGAGUAUUAGGCGCGGCUCUGCUAUGCGCUAUUCAUGGGGCAACCGUGGAAAACACUCUAUUUGAGGACGGUGAUGGUGCAAAUACCUUCCGCGCUUUUAACCCAACUCAAGCUGAAGAAACUUAUUCAAUGGUCACCGCUAAUCGCUUUUGGUCCCAAAUCUUUGGUGUUGCUUUUUCCAAUAAACGUUGGUUACAUUUCUUUAUGCUAUUUGUACCGGUCACCGGUUUAUGGAUGAGUGCUAUUGGCGUAGUCGGCCUGGCUCUGAACCUACGUGCCUAUGACUUCGUUUCCCAGGAAAUCCGUGCAGCGGAAGAUCCUGAAUUUGAGACUUUCUACACCAAAAAUAUUCUUUUAAACGAGGGUAUUCGUGCGUGGAUGGCAGCUCAGGAUCAGCCUCAUGAAAAUCUUAUAUUCCCUGAGGAGGUUCUACCACGUGGAAACGCUCUUUAAUGGAACUUUUGUUUUAGCUGGUCGUGACCAAGAAACCACCGGUUUUGCUUGGUGGGCCGGGAAUGCCAGACUUAUCAAUUUGUCGGGUAAACUACUUGGAGCUCACGUAGCCCAUGCAGGAUUAAUCGUAUUCUGGGCCGGAGCAAUGAACCUAUUUGAAGUGGCCCAUUUCGUACCAGAAAAACCCAUGUAUGAACAAGGGUUGAUUUUACUUCCGCACUUAGCUACUCUAGGUUGGGGAGUAGGGCCCGGGGGAGAAGUUCUAGAUACUUUUCCGUACUUUGUAUCUGGAGUACUUCAUCUAAUUUCCUCCGCAGUCUUAGGCUUCGGUGGCAUUUAUCACGCGCUUCUGGGACCGGAGACUCUUGAAGAAUCUUUUCCAUUCUUUGGUUAUGUGUGGAAAGAUAGAAAUAAAAUGACUACAAUUUUGGGUAUUCACCUAAUUUUGUUAGGUAUAGGUGCUUUUCUUCUAGUACUCAAAGCUCUUUAUUUUGGCGGUAUAUAUGAUACCUGGGCUCCUGGGGGAGGAGAUGUAAGAAAAAUUACCAAUUUGACCCUUAGCCCCGGUGUUAUAUUUGGUUAUUUACUAAAAUCCCCUUUUGGGGGAGAGGGUUGGAUUGUUAGUGUGGAUGAUUUAGAAGAUAUAAUUGGGGGACAUGUAUGGUUGGGUUUCAUUUGUGUAUUUGGCGGAAUUUGGCAUAUCUUAACCAAACCCUUCGCAUGGGCUCGCCGUGCAUUUGUAUGGUCUGGAGAAGCUUACUUGUCUUAUAGUUUAGGCGCUUUAUCUGUCUUUGGUUUUAUCGCUUGUUGUUUUGUCUGGUUCAAUAAUACAGCUUAUCCGAGUGAGUGAGUUUUAUGGACCUACUGGGCCAGAAGCUUCUCAAGCUCAAGCAUUUACUUUUCUAGUUAGAGAUCAGCGUCUUGGAGCUAAUGUGGGAUCUGCCCAAGGACCCACAGGUUUAGGUAAAUAUCUAAUGCGUUCCCCAACGGGAGAGGUUAUUUUUGGAGGGGAAACUAUGCGUUUUUGGGACCUUCGUGCUCCAUGGUUAGAACCUCUAAGGGGCCCCAACGGUUUGGACUUGAGUAGGUUGAAAAAAGACAUACAACCUUGGCAAGAACGACGUUCGGCAGAAUAUAUGACCCAUGCUCCUUUAGGCUCUUUAAAUUCUGUGGGUGGCGUAGCUACCGAGAUCAAUGCAGUUAAUUAUGUUUCUCCUAGAAGUUGGUUAGCGACUUCCCAUUUUGUUCUAGGAUUCUUCUUUUUUGUGGGCCAUUUGUGGCAUGCAGGAAGAGCCCGGGCUGCUGCAGCAGGAUUUGAAAAGGGAAUCGAUCGUGAUUUGGAGCCUGUUCUUUACAUGACCCCUCUUAACUAAGAUUUUCUUAUUUAUACCUGUUCUACUGUUUUUUUCUGUUCUGGCUCGGUUAUUCUAUCUAGCCGAGCCAUUCAUUCCUUUCUAUGAAAGAAAGAUAAGGGGACAGAACAAAAAAAACAAAUAAAGAAACAAACGUAUUCAAUACGCAAAAGAAAAGAGAGAGGAAAGCAAAAGGAGAGAGAGGGAUUCGAACCCUCGAUAGUUCCUAGAACUAUACCGGUUUUCAAGACCGGAGCUAUCAACCACUCAGCCAUCUCUCCACAGCCUAAUCCUUAUUUUAUUCCUACAAAUAGAACAUAGCCAUACGAAAUGACUCACUAACCUCUAGAAACAUCUCAAAUACAAAUCCCUUUUCGAUAUAUUUCUGUAUACUGUAUCCAUGUAUACAGGAUCCGCUAUAUCCGCUUGUGAAAUAAAGCAUAAAACCCCCUCAACCCCAUAUCCAAAUAAAAAAAGUGGUGAGUAAUAAGUUUUAAAGAGAAGAAUCAAUGGAUUCAUGAUUAAACCCCUCCUACUUCUUGUAUUUUAUUACAAUUUUGAUUAAGUGAGGGAUCAAAUAUAAUAUGUAGUCAACUUUAUUUGAUGGUAACUUGGAGGAUUAGAAAUAUGACUAUUGCUUUCCAAUUAGCUGUUUUUGCAUUAAUUGUGACUUCCUCAGUCUUAGUCAUUAGUGUACCCCUUGUAUUUGCUUCUCCUGAUGGUUGGUCAAACAAUAAAAACGUUGUAUUUUCCGGUACAUCAUUAUGGAUUGGACUGGUCUUUCUGGUAGCUAUUCUAAAUUCUCUCAUUUCUUAAAUGUGUUUAGUAUUUAGUAGCCCGAUACAAAAUAAAAAAGGGCCGUUUAUUCGGAUUGUGAGACGCAUUAAAAUGCAAUUUGCGCCCCGAAUUGAUUGACAGACAAUUAAAUUAAUAAAAAGAAAACUCAAAUAGAAAAUGAAACGGUCGACCCAGACAUAGACGGUCGACCCAGGCGGAUAUACCCUAUAAAAUAUAGGACGUAGCGAGCGUAGUUCAAUGGUAAAACAUCUCCUUGCCAAGGAGAAGAUACGGGUUCGAUUCCCGCCGCUCGCCAGCUUAAUUUAGUAAGGUACUAUGAUAAAAAAUUUAGUCUACUUUUAUUAAAGUAAUAGGUGUUAGUCUAGUACCGUACCCCUUUACUAUCUUAGCCCCCUUUGCACCCCACUCAAAAAAAGAGCACUACAGCGGCGGGAAUCGAACUCGGCAACAGGGUUCCCUAAACCGGGGAUUCACCGAAACAAACAACCAGCAAACAGCUUUUAAAGGGAAGGGAGAUAGACUGUGCCUUUCUUUCAUUUAUUUUUUCUUUUCUGCAAGGUAGGGGGCCUUGAGAGUUCCUCUUGUGGUAGCAAGUUACUUCGCAACCUGCUCAAUUUGGCCUUAUAGGGUCGGGAACUAAUGAAUAAAAAGGGUUGGAUACCGCCCAACCACCCAGCCCUCUACCAUAUCUAGACAAAUAGAAUAGUCCUUUUAUACAGACUGCUAAGUGCGGAGACGGGAAUCGAACCCGUGACCUCAAGGUUAUGAGCCUCGUGAGCUACCAAACUGCUCUACUCCGCUCUGGAGCGCUGGAAACCGGUGGACGAAAAAGGUUGAAUACAGGCCUCUACCAUGUCUAGACAAAUAGAAUAGUUAUUUUAUACAGAAUGGAGCGGGUAGCGGGAAUCGAACCCGCAUCGUUAGCUUGGAAGGCUAGGGGUUAUAGUCGACGUUGGUUGAUUAUUAUUAACGUCUCUAAUUCAAAACCGAACAUGAAAUUUUGAUUUCAUUCGGCUCCUUUAUGGGUAUUCUCACCACUUAACAUCUAAGUCAGCUUUUUUGUCUGAAUGGAACCAAGGCUCUCUGCUUUCUAGAUGAUCCCUAAAGAGUAGGAGAUAGAAAUUUGCCUAAAUCUAUCUAAUCUAAUUACUUCGUUCCCUAAUUUCAUUUAAGAGAUCCUGAGAAAAGAAUUGGGUUUCCACCGAGCUGAAACAAUAUGCUGAUGGUUCUAGUAAACCAAAACUACCGUUUUUUAGCUAUUUGGCUUCCAUUUCCUUUUUUAACAAAAGAAGAUUUAGUUACGAUUGGAAAUAAAUUUUUUUGUAUCUUUAUCCAUAGAUCCUUUACUCAUAUU
rnacentral:lncRNA from 1 species